CCUACGGGAGGCAGCAGUAGGGAAUCUUCGUCAAUGGGCGCAAGCCUGAACGAGCGAUGCCGCGUGAGUGAAGAAGGCCUUCGGGUCGUAAAGCUCUGUUGCGGGGGAAAAAAGGCAGCAUCAGGAAAUGGGUGCUGACUGAUGGUGCCCCGCCAGAAAGUCACGGCUAACUACGUGCCAGCAGCCGCGGUAAUACGUAGGUGGCGAGCGUUAUCCGGAAUGGUUGGGUGGAAAGGGUGGGUAGGCGGUCCUGCAAGUCUGGAGUGAAACGCAUGAGCUCAACUCAUGCAUGGCAAUGGAAACUGGAGGACUGGAGGGCAGGAGAGGGCGGUGGAACUCCAAGUGUAGCGGUGAAAUGCGUAGAUAUAAGGAAGAACACCAGUGGCGAAGGCGGCCGACUGGCCUGUUGCUGACGCUGAGGCACGAAAGCGUGGGGAGCAAAUAGGAUUAGAUACCCGAGUAGUC
rnacentral:rRNA from 1 species